CGCUGCCUCCACGGAGCUGCUUUCAGUGGUGGUGGGGAGGAGGAGGAGCAGCUCCCUUGAAUGGAUGGAUGCGGGCAGAGCUGGGCCCGGCCCCUCUUCCCCUCCCUUCCCCUCUCCCUCCCCUCCCCUCCCCUUCUCCUCCUCCCCUCUUCCCCCUCUCCCCCUCCCCCUCCUCCUCCUCUCCCACCUUCAUCUUGUCCUCCUCCCCCCUGUCUUCCUUUCUCCCUUUCCUCCUCCCUCUCCAGUCAGUGACAGAGGAGAGAGCCGGCUGCUUUGCAUCCAUUGUGCUGGAGCCAGAGCAAUUGCUCUUGGCAUUCUGGGCUUCUGCUGCCUUCUCGAGAAGAUCAGAUCCAUGCAUGUCUGUGACUCAGGCCAUGGAGUGGCUGAUUGAGGAAAGAGACAACCGCAUCGUGGAUGCGCCCCUGCCCGGCCAGCUUCUGCUAGGAAACUCUGCAGAAGCUGGAACCUCCUCCUCCACCACCACCACCACCAAGGCUGUUGCUGGGGCCAGCCUGGAAGCCAGCAGAGAGGAGCUGAAGGACGAGCUGACAGAACUCUUCAAGAAGAUACGCAGGAAAAGAGAGUUCCGCGCUGAUCCACAGGCGGUCAUUGCCUUGAUGGAGAUGGGAUAUGAUGAGAGGGAGGUGGUGGAUGCGCUCCGAGGGAACAACCACCAGCAGAACACAGUGUGUGAGUGGCUGCUGGGAGACCGGAAGCCCACCCCAGAGGAUGUAGACCAGGGCAUUGACCCUUCCAGCCCUCUCUUCCAGGCCAUCCUAGAAAACCCCGUGGUACAGUUGAGACUAACCAACCCAAAAACGCUACUUGCAAAAAGAAACGGAGUUGGUGCAUGUGUCCCUAUGACCCACAGACCGGAGUGCUGCUCUUGGAGCAUUUGUUCCUCUCCAGAGGCCAACGUGGCAGCCUUGUCAAGCUGGAUAUCCUCUAAGAUGGAGACUGCCUUUAACAGGACACACUUCAUGUGUGCUGCAUGCUCAGCAGCCCUUUGUGCCAUGUUUGGAAAGAAGAAACAGAGUUGGCACACAUUUGCAAUGACCUCCAUGCCGGAGUGGGGAUUUUGGAAUGUUUUUUCCUCCCAAGAGGCCUGUGUGGGAGGCAGGAUCAAAGACGGGCUGGACCAAGUGGGAUUCAAGAAAGAGCACAAGGAAUGAGGAGGACACAGAGGACAAGACAAGCUGACCUGAUCAAUCUUGUGACGAGGAGGCGCAUUGUCCGAGAAUUGAACAGAUUUCAUGAAAGAGCUGAAGGAGCGAGGACAAGACAAGCUGUCUCAAUCUCUUUCGUGAUGAGGCUUCAUCAGAGAACUGAAGAACAUAUACAAAAUAUAAAGAUGUAUACAAAUACUGAGCAUACUUAUUUAUUACAUACCGAUUGUCACAGGAGAAUAGAAAAAUGAAACUCUGAAAAUGUAUUACUCAGGAAAUCUAAGGUGUCAUCCUUCAUAAAUGCCUCAUACUCUAACAUCAUGUGGAUUUGCUCACACUUCAAAUAAAUUAUGUAACUUGUUCUUUCCCAAAGGAUUUCAAAAACAGACCAGUGGAGGCGACAAGAGACAAGCCACGCCAAGCAAAACUGCAUUACCCUUUUAGGGUUUUUUUUCAGAUUGGUCUCAAAACGAGUGGCUGGCUGCCGCAAAUAGAGGCUUCAAGCGAGAGUUGAUUUUGUCCUUGACCCUGUGAGGUAAGUUAGCCUGGAAUAAUAUGUGCUGGCUUCAAGGGUUCAUGCCUAAAAAAUAAGAAUACAUUUGUUUAAAUUGUUUGUAUCCUGUCUAUUCAAGAGCCUUAAACAACCAUCUCUUCAGCCUGGCUUUUAAUGAUAUCUUGUUUUAAUCUUAAUUUUAAUUAGAUUUAAUCUGUUUUAAAUGUUUCUUGAUUUUAAUUGUUUUAUUUUGUGUUUUUUUAUUUUAAUGUAAACCAGCCUGAGCCAAUGAAUGAAUGAAUGAAUGAAUGAAUGAAUGAAUGAAAUAAUAAAUAUUCAACAAAAUGCUAUUCAGGGCUGCUUGCCCUCUCUUAAAUGAAAACAACAACCACCCCCUACUAAAUGCAAAACAACAACAAAACCCACUAUUAAAUGCAAGCUCCCACACUACUAAAUUAAAAAAAAACACUACUAAAUGCAACAACCCCCCGCAAAGCCCACUACUAAAUGGGAAAAAACCCCACCACUAAAUGCACACACUCCACUAAUAAAUGCAAAAAAAAAAAAUUCACUACUAAAUGCAAUAAAACAGAAGAUAAAAUAGACAAGAAAAAAGAGCAUUCACAACUAAAAACUGAGUAUUCUAAACAGGAGUUAAAAAAACAACCACCAUUGGCUCUGUUCACCAGCCAUUCUCAUUGAACUCUGUUGGUACAUUACUCGUCAGGUUUUUUCACCCGUCAGGCAUCCUUUUUCACUUGACACAGAUGGGUAGACUAGUGGAUUUUCUGAGCCCUGAUUCUAAACUUGGAUUGGAGAAAAAUGGAAUUUUUUCUUGGUGCAGAUCUCCUGACCUAGCUGCUUUGCGUGAGUAUUUGUUCAGUGAAUCUGAAAAAACUAUUAUUGUGAUGUUUGAAACUAACAUUUAACACAUUUGUUAAAGAUUUGUGGUAAUGUUUUAUUUUGAAACAUGAAUUAUUUGAAAUGAUGAAAGAAUGUUAAUAUGCCUAUAUAUUCUCUUUUUACCCAGCAGGUUGACUUGUAUACAGUGCCACGUGGAUGGUGCAUAAAUCCCUGCCAAGGAGGAUAUUGCAAGAAAUCGGAAAUGUAUAAAAGUGGCUACUGUCAGAGGGGUAUAUAUUAACCUAUGUCUAGAUAUGCUUUUGAUUUUCUUUUCCCCUAGCAAUCAAUCAAUGUAUCUAUAGACCAGAAAAAUUUCCCCUAGCAGACUGAUUUACAUAGACGGCCAUGUGGAUUGUGGGUAAAUCCCUACUUAGGAGGUUAUUUGAAGAAAUCCAAAGUGUAUAAAAGUGGCUGAUAUCAAAGAGAUGUGGCCUUGUGAGGAGGAAUGUCACUGUGAACCACACGCUUCAAGGAAGGGCUUUUUGAACCAGGAUGCAGCCUGCAGCUACGCUUAGGAACAUGGCAGCUGGCAAAAGUGGUGCUGCAACCCCUUCUGUGCUGCUGACACACAAGAGAAAAACCUUCUUUCCAUCCUGGGCCUUUUGCCCAAGAAAUCUCAAGAACCUAGAACUUAUGUGCAAAGCAUUUCUAAAUGGAAGAAGUGAAAACCCCACCAGCUCUUUACUCACUAAAUACUUUUUGUUGCCUCUGUGUAUCUCUUGUUGGACUCCCCUUGAAGCUAAAGAUGUGAAGUGCCAUUUGUACCCUGGGUCUCUCACCAAACAACUCUCAAGCCUGCAAAGUUUCUUGGCAAAGCAAAGCGUCUCUAGUUGGAAGAAGUGACAGCCCCAGAAGUCACCAAUCCUGAUGUUUCACUUUGGGAAAUUUGAGUGAAAUGUUAGUUGGCCUUAUUGUCUAAUCUUACUCUUGAUUACUUCUUUUUAGGCAAAUAAGAUAAUAAAUUGCCUUGGUACUGAACUUUUAUCUUGAAUGGCACAAGGAGGGCGAGUAGGAGAUUGGGGCUGAAUAUUAAAAGAAUUUCUAAUUUCAACCCAUUGCUCUAAUUGUUAUUGCUCUCCGGAUAAAGGACACUGCUAAAGGAAGAGUUUAAUAAGGAUAUAAAGGAGUCUAGUAAGGAUUAAAGAACUAAUCCCUAUGCUUUGGCACAUUAUACUCCCCCACCCCACUUUAUAAGCAUGUAAUAUGCUUAGUAAGAUAUCUGGAUGAGAGGGGGGGAGAGCCCUGAACGUAAACAUUUAGUAGUUCUUUCAUGCUUUCUUCACAUUUGUAACUGGAUUCAUUUACUCCCUAGUUCUGGGAGAGAGGGAACAUUGGUUUUGGUUCUCCUCACUCUUUUGUAGAAUUCUGUUUAACAUUGUCUUAGUUGGUUUAACCUGGUUACUUUUCUCUCUCACCUUUUUGGUGGUGAUUUGGAGGAUGGGGAGGGAAGGAUAGUUCCUGGGUUUAGUUAUGAAUGUAUUUCAAUGCUAACAGUUUCUGCCAAAGAUGAUGUAUUUCGACUCAAGGCCUAUGAUAUAACAUUAGUCCAAUUGGUUAUAGCACUUGCAGUUGUUGACAUGGGUAAUCUGUCCUUUAAAGAUGGGUGAUUUAAAUAUUUUUUCAGUUAAUUGUAAUGGCUUAGUUUCUUAUCAAACAUUCUAAGGUGUUUAAAACAAAGGACAGAUAUAAUUUUUCUUCAAGAAACACGUACUAAAAGAGGAACAACAACAUUGUUUAGUUUAAUUAUCCUCAUCAGGGAUAGCAGCUGGAAGCUCGAAGUCCAAAGGAACUGCCACGUUGUUUUCCCCAAAUUGCUGAUUUACACCCUUGAAAGACUAUAAAGAUUCUUUUGGUCAGUUUGUAUAUAUUGAGGGCACAUUUUUGGAUAAACCCUUGUUACUGUGUUCCAUAUAUGCCCCAAAUACUCUGUCACUGAAAAUCUCUUUUAAAAACUUCAAAGUAUUAAGAUUCAAGAUUGGAUAAAUGGGUGUGGUUUUAACUUAACCAUAAACCCUGCUUUGGAUAGGUCAGCCUCCAAGUAUACUCCCAACAUUUCUACUUCUAAGUUCCCUAUAGCAUAUCUCUCUAAGGAAGCUAAUUUGGUGGUUCCUUGGCAGUUGUUACACCCAGGGGAAGGGGAUUACACAUUCUUGUCUGCCAGACAUGAAACUUGUUCUAGGAUUGAUUAUGUUCUCAUCUCCAGUUCCCUACAGAAUGAUAUUCAAGAUGCUAUUAGUGAUAAAAUUUGGACAGAUCACAAUUGGAUAAUAUGCUCAUUAAGUUUUGAAAGUUCUAAUAACCCAAUUUCUUGGUUGAAAACUUAUUUAUUAUACAAUAAAGAUAUAUGCAAAACA